rnacentral:rRNA from 1 species
UAGGGAAUCUUCGGCAAUGGACGGAAGUCUGACCGAGCAACGCCGCGUGAGUGAAGAAGGUUUUCGGAUCGUAAAGCUCUGUUGUUAGAGAAGAACGUUGGUAGGAGUGGAAAAUCUACCAAGUGACGGUAACUAACCAGAAAGGGACGGCUAACUACGUGCCAGCAGCCGCGGUAAUACGUAGGUCCCGAGCGUUGUCCGGAUUUAUUGGGCGUAAAGCGAGCGCAGGCGGUUCUUUAAGUCUGAAGUUAAAGGCAGUGGCUUAACCAUUGUCCGCUUUGGAUCCUGGAGGACUUGAGUGCAGAAGGGCCGAGUGGACUUCCAUGUGUAGCGGUGAAAUGCGUAGAUAUAUGGAGGAACACCGGUGGCGAAAGCGGCUCUCUUGUCUGUAACUGACGCUGAGGCUCGAAAGCGUGGGGAGCAAACAGG